UCUCUUUCCCUCUAUUCUUGUGCGUCUCCUUUGUCUCUCCAUGGAGAACAAAAAAAAAUCGCAGAAAAUCUCAAAUCAAUAAAUCCUAAAUUCAAAGGUGACAAAGUUGCAGGCAACAACCCUUUUUGACGAAUGAGAAUGCUAUUUAUUCAGUCGCUGAAAAUUACGGCUUUUUUACAUUUAUGGAGUGUACAAUUUGAAGGAGAAGAAGAGAAUCGAAAAUUAAAUUUGAGCGAAUUGAUGAGAAAUUAUAGAAGAGUGAUUCCAGUUCCGAGCUGGUGGAUCAAUCUGGUGAUGAAAUUCACAUUUAUUGUUUUAAGAAUAUAUUGCCCUUUUGAUAUUGAUUUAUGCUGAUAGAGAAAGAUCUCAUAAGUCUUAUCGUACUUAGCAAGUUUUGCUAUGCUACUUCCAGUUUUCCUUCGCAUCUGCACCCGGGAUGCGUCAUCGUGCACUAUCCAUUUUAUAUAGUUCAUUUUCUAUGUUGAAGCAGCACCAUCAACUCUUUUGUCAAGGAAAAUAAGGUGGUCCAGAUGUCACUGAAUUGAGCAGUAUAUGCAAACAUCAACCUACAAGACAAGGCGACCUAAUAAUAAACAGAAUUGAGUAUUAGUAUGUGUAUGUGCGACAUGUACGGGUGACGUAUUCUACUACAAGAAGCAAAGGAAAAACAAAAAAGUGCAAGCCAAAGGAAAAGGAGACGGAGGAGAAAAUACGAAGAAGAAGUUAUUUUAGAUGGAUAUGUAGUGCUUCGUUAGUUCUUUUCGAUUUCUCAUUGGGUCUUGCCCUUAGCGCAAUAUAGAUGCUUAUGAGGUCUCAGGUUCAAUUUCCAGCAGAGACAAAAACACUAGGUGAUUUCUUCCCAUCUGUUCUAGCCUUGGAACAGAGUUACUUGGUACCUAAUGGUGGUAGGAGGUGGCAGGUAUCCUGUGGAAUUAGUUAAGGUACGCUCACGGACACCGCGGUCAACAAAAAUAUACAUGCUUAAUUAUAAAUGCUGUAAAUUGCUAAGAAUUUGAUGUGAUGAAGAGCCUAAUUAGGCUACCUAUUGUGUUAUAAUUGUUUUGCAUGCAUAUGAAACUAUAGUUCUACUAUUAAAACGCAACUUGCAAUUGAAAUCACUUACAUUUCAUAAAUUUCUAAAUAAAAUUCUUGACUGCUAAGUUAGCUAUGUGGGAAAACUGUGAAGAUGAAUAUGUAUUUAUCAGGUAUGGAUUUGUAAUGCUAAGCCUGUAAUCACACUAGUUAAUACACAAUAAUUUAUUUGUUCGGCUUUGAACUUACCGGAUACAAUAGUUUCUCCAGCCUUCAUUGAACUUCUGCAGCCACUUAUUUGUAGAAAUUAUAAUUUCAACUUUUUCCUUGGGUUAAUAGUUUCAUUAACUUAAGAAAAUUCCUGACUUUUGUGCUUUAUGUUCACAUGGUUUUUGCAGGGCGUGCUUUACUAUCUACAUAAGAUAUUUUAGCCUUCAGGUGGUCUUCAUAAAAAUGUGAAUUUCCAUGGGUAAAGCAAGAAUUUUCAGUCGAUGGCUAAUUGCCAAACAUGUUAUGAAGCUACAUAUGGAAAGUUCGGGUGGUUCUUAUUAUAUUGAAACAAAAGAGAGCACAUUGAUUUGGCUUCAUUAGAUGAUAGCUUCGUUUUGUUUCUAGCCAAGUAGAGCAGAUGUUGGACCAACUUUGAAGUGUCUUGGAAAGAUAAUCUGUUACAUUGAGAGCGGACAAUUUAUUGCAGAAGUUAAAAACUAAGAUAUGUCAUAUAAUGUUUUUGGCAUUUUCACCAAUUUUCGUUCAUGUGGCUCAGCAUACUCCAUCCAUUGUCUGCUAAAACUAAUAAUUGACUACCCCUUCUUUCUUCAUUCCUUUUGUUGAAGGGAAGAGAUCAUAAGUUUUAUUCAAGAGUUUAGAAGUUUGUGGUUCUUAAAUUUGAAAGAAGGGUAUGUAAAGCUUUUUUGAAAAUGAUAUAAAAGCUUCUCAUAUAAUGACUGCUCUUCGUAAGGUCGGUCAAAGGUAAGCUCUCAAAGCUCAUUAUUUGAGCGGGCUGUUCACCUUGAAAACCAUGCUCUGCUACACAGUCUAAAGUUUGCUUUUAACUACAACCUGAUGCCUCUAGAGAUCAAUGUCGCCGCCACAGAGGUACUCACUUUACCCAAAAAUAUAAUACUCUUUAAUCACCCAUUUUUUAUGACUGCAUGUUACUAAUCAGGCAGCUGGCCAUCCACCAUUACAUCAUAUCCCUGGGUUGGUCUUUCUAAUCAAUCAGAACAUGAACCGAUGUGAAGAUCUUGAAUACAAGAGUGGGUUUGCCUUCAUGGAGAAGAGCCUCUUCGUUGCAAGCGGAACCCACUGCCACUUUUUGAGAACCACCAGAAGACAUUCUGGAUAUUUUGACAAAUAACCAACAGAGGACAACUAUUGUCUCUAUGGUCUCUAGCGCUCCACGGCAGGAACAACAACGCGCUUCCCGACAGCAUAUGUUGCCACUUUGUUUAGCCACUUUAGUAGAAGAUAAGCAUCCUUUGCAUGAUCAACAAUUUUGUAAUGAGGAUUCUCCAUCGUCAAUAGCUUUAAAUACUUGUACUACCGUGAUGUCUCACUCACACCGUGCUUCCUGCAGAUUUUUUAUUAAGUAGUAAAAUUUCUUCUCAU